GCCAGCGCAGUGACGCACGCCUGUAAUCCCAGCAUCUCGGGAGGCUGAGACAGGAGGAUCUCGAGUUCAAAGCCAGCCUCAGCAACACUGAGGUGCUAAGCAACUCAGUGAGACCCUGUCUCUA
rnacentral:sRNA from 1 species